CCUACGGGAGGCAGCAGUAGGGAAUAUUGCUCAAUGGGGGAAACCCUGAAGCAGCAACGCCGCGUGGAGGAUGAAGGUUCUCGGAUUGUAAACUCCUUUUUUUAGAGAAGAUAAUGACCGUAUCUGACGAAUAAUCACCGGCUAACUCCGUGCCAGCAGCCCCGGUUAUACGGAGGCUGCAAGCGUUACUCGGAAUCACCGGGCGUAAAGAGCGCGUAGGCGGGGUAGCAAGUCAGAUGUGAAAUCCUUGGGCUUAACCAUAGAACUGCAUUUGAAACUGUUGUUCUAGAGUAUGGGGGAGGUAGGUGGAAUGCUUGGUGUAGGAGUGAAAUGCGUAGAUAUCUGGCGGAACAUCAGUGGCGAAGGCGGCUAUCUGGCACAUAACUGACGCUGAGGAGCGAAAGCGUGGGUAGCAAACAGGAUUAGAUACCCUAGUAGUC
rnacentral:rRNA from 1 species